rnacentral:tRNA from 1 species
GCCGGGGUGGCGGAACAGGCAGACGCACAGGACUUAAAAUCCUGCGGGAGUCAAAUCCCAUACCGGUUCGAUUCCGGUUCCCGGCACCA